GUUUAUGAAUCUAAUAGUGAUAGGAUUGAAAUGGCUAGCUCUAUCCGAGGCCCAUGUGUAGUCCUUCCAUACGAUAAAUUUAAACAAGAAAAUGACAGAAGAUCUCAAUUUGGAAUUGUAGCAACUGUUAGUGUACAGCCCAUUUUCCUUUGCAGAUGGUUUUAUGAUGAAAUCAAAACGUCAUUUCAACCCGUUAUCAGUUGA